UGCAGAGUUCGGGCAUCCUUUGAUUCUGGCCCUGGGUCGUCUGACCUAGUGGUUAGGAGGUUUUUUUGGGGAGGAGGGGGAGUUGCCUUGGAUCAGCUGAAAAUGGAGGAGAGAAAGGAUGGAGGGGCUCAUGAAAAGACCUCGCAGUCGGUGUCAGCUGAGUCUCUGUCUCCAUUAAGUAGAAACUGCAGAGAGUGCAAUUGUUGGAGAUUGUUCGUGUCUUAAUCCCAUUAGUCUCAACGCCUUUUCCUUUGUAUCACGAGGUCCAGAAUCGGAUGCAGAGUUCCAUGUAUGACCUCACUAGUGCGGUGUCAAGCGGUACUAUCAUCCCAAAUGAUUGCCUAAAAGGAAUAUGACCCACAAAAGCUCAGAUCAACACUGCAGCCUUUUCGGGAAACCUUUCCGACAGAUCCAAAUACAGAAAACACUGUACGUUUUCUCUGGACUGGUUAGAAUGGGUUGCUAAACCACAAGGCAAAGAAUGUGGCCGAUCAGCACAUCGACGGGAUGAUAAAGUAUCUGUGGCAUAACU